rnacentral:rRNA from 1 species
UACGUAGGGCGCAAGCGUUGUCCGGAAUUAUUGGGCGUAAAGAGCUCGUAGGCGGCCUGUUGCGUCCGCUGUGAAAUCCCGGGGCUUAACCCCGGGCUUGCAGUGGAUACGGGCAGGCUGGAGGCAGGCAGGGGAGACUGGAAUUCCUGGUGUAGCGGUGGAAUGCGCAGAUAUCAGGAGGAACACCGGUGGCGAAGGCGGGUCUCUGGGCCAUUACUGACGCUGAGGAGCGAAAGCGUGGGGAGCGAACAGG